UUGUGUCGGUGGACGCCAUUAUAAAUUGAAAGAGUUGUGCACUGAAGCAAAUAAGAAAAUUUGAGAGUUGCAGAUAGAGUGAGCCGAGAGAAAAACAGAGUUUGAGCACACAAUGAGUCGAGUGUUUCAGAGGGCGCAGUGAAAGUUUGAAGGUUGAUCUUUUUACAGUGUACUGAAGAUGAACGGCGGGCUUAGGACUGAAGAGUCGGCGUUGCAGGAUUUAUUUUAUUUAUUUUGGAGAUUUUUUUUUUUGUAUAUUUGAGGAAAUUAACUUUUUGUAUAAAAGAGGGCAUUUUUUUUGUGAUCUGGGUGUAUUUUGAUGUAUUUGAAUUGAAUAAGUGGAGGAUUUUGUUAGAAUUUUCGGGUCGUGACAUUGCCACCGGAAAAUCAAAGUCAUCCCUGCUCGUCGUUCUUCGCCGUCGCCGUUCGUUUCUACCCGGCAUGUUCAGUGCACUAGUACCAACCUUGGUUCCUCGCUGUUUAGUCUCGGUAGUUCAGUCCCGCUUCACCGUCUCUCUUGCUCACUGCCACUGCCGGUUCAUCCCCGUAGCUUCACCGCCGGCAUGCUUGUUCAUCUUUUUCACUGCUGAACAGUUCCUUGUACGCUCACGGCUCAUCACUGGGUUUUCCCUCUGUCUGGCCGUUCAGACAAGCGCACCGACGUCGGAGACAUCAUUACGUCCCUAAUGCAGUUCAUCCUUCUUAUUCGUCGCCGCCAUCCACUUCUCGCCGGUAAGAACAGUGUUUUCACGGACUGAACUGGAGUCGUCACUGUGACUUUGAAGAGAGAGAGAGGAUAGAAAAAAAAUAAAAUAAAAUUGUUGCUUAUGUCAUCAAAGAGUAUUUUGAAUUUUUUUUUUAAAAAAAAAUUAAUUAAAAUUGAUGAUUAAGUAGCUCAAAAAAAAAAAAUAGAUAAUAGAAGAAGUUAUAUAGAUUGAUUAAAAUUACUGAUUAGGGGCAAUUUCCUAGAAAAACAAAUUUAGCGCAGUCAAGACCGUUGGGGAAGGAUUGUGGAUUAUUUUCCUUUCUUCUCUCUGCCGGUAUUAAAACCUUAAUUUAGAGUUCGUAAUUUUAGACCCAAAUUCUGGGACAAAGAUAAAUCAGUAGGGAUUUUGGUGAACAUAAAUACUUCAAAUGUUCAAAAAAAAAAAACCAUUUCCUUCAUUUUUCAAUACUGUCCAUUUAAUCAAAUAAUACUUAUUCAAUUACAACCAACGAACAUUAGAGAAAUGCUAUCAAGUAGACUCCACAUGAAGAUACUUGUUUUCCUUUCCCUAACAACAAAACAGAACUACAACAGGCAAUCAAAAUGAACAUCAUCGAACAACCACUUGGGCCAAACUUGCCAUUCUAUAUCUACUCCCAUUGAACGAUAGUGUGAGCAACUUGAUUACCAUCUCCGGGAACCAAUUGAAGCUUCAAACAUGGAUGUCGUUGAGAAGUUCCCAAUCAUCUUCCAUCACUGUGGCUGAAAGGUCAUCUGUUGGGGAUAUAUGCAUAUCGUUCUGGAAAUCACUCUGUAUAAGAGUUUGAAUGCCCGGGGCGUUGAUGCGGGCAUCUGACGCCUUUUAUUACAGAACAGAACUGCAACAUUUUGCCAAGUCCGACAUGAACUUAGCGAAAAACACAAAAGGAAACUCUGCACAGCAGAGAUCACACA